UACGUAGGGUGCAAGCGUUAAUCGGAAUUACUGGGCGUAAAGCGUGCGCAGGCGGUUAUGUAAGACAGAUGUGAAAUCCCCGGGCUCAACCUGGGAACUGCGUUUGAAACUACAAGGCUAGAGUGUGGCAGAGGGGGGUGGAAUUCCACGUGUAGCAGUGAAAUGCGUAGAGAUGUGGAGGAACACCGAUGGCGAAGGCAGCCCCCUGGGUUAACACUGACGCUCAGGCACGAAAGCGUGGGGAGCAAACAGG
rnacentral:rRNA from 1 species